AUGCCCAAGGUGGGGUACAGGAGGCAGGACUUUAACGUUGGCUGUAUAUCUACUAUGUGCCAAAUAAGAUGCUUUCAUCUUCUCAAUUGCUACCAACCACAUCCUAUCAGGGAGGUUAUUGAUUAUUCUAAUUUUACAGAUGAGAAAGCUGAGACUGGAUAUUUAAGUCAUGUGCAUAAGGAUCAGGGACCACAUUCAAAUGGAAAAUGUCAACCUUAUGACUCCAAAUCCUAUGCCUUGUCUUUUCCUUUGUUUUUGGAUCUCAGGUCCUGAGAAUCAUUGCAAGGAACUUUUUUGUGCUAUUUUCCCCCUUCAUCCCUGAUCUUGACCCCCUUGUUCCCUUUCUUAGUUCCCUGACAAAUACCCACUCCAAUGUGAUGGCUAUAUGUCUUUGAAUAAAUAAGUGUCCCUGAGGAAUAGACAGUACUCUAACUCAUGUGUGUGUUUUUACUUACAUUAAUAAAUAUGUAUUCUAGGACUCAACCUUAACUCGGUCUAUUGUUUUAAGAUCCACCUCUCAUUUGAUAUAAAGCAUUCCACAAUUGUGUACACACCACAUGUAACUUGUCCUUUUCUAUGGAGAUGAUACCUGGGCUGUAUUCAUUAGCCAGUUAUCACAAACAAUGCUGUGAUGGACACCUUCACACAUUUCUCCAGACCUGUGCAAGAGCUGUUCUAAAGUCAGUACACGGGAGUGGGGACUACUGUGUCAUGGGUGCAUAUUUAAAUUCCUGCUGCAAAUGGGCCGUGCUAAUUUUCACUUUCACCAAAGGAGCCUAAGGGUUCUUGUUCCCCUAUAUCCUCAGAAACACUAUUAUCCUAUUUUUAAAAUUUUGUCAAUAAAUAGGUUUAGAACAAUAUUUCAUUUUUAAUUUAGCUUUCUUUUAUUACUAACGAGACAGGGCAUUCUUUCAAAUAUUCGUUAGUUAUUCACCAGUUUUAUACUUUCUGCUUCUUUCUAUUGACUUCUUACCCUUUUCUGGAUCAAUUUUCUUACUAAUUUUAAAUGUUGAAAAUACCAUCCCUAUGUCUGUGAUCUAUUACUAGUCUCUGGUGCCUUUCACUGAACAGAAAGUCAUCAUUUAGUCUUAUUCUUUCCCCAUAAUCCAGCCUGCUUCUUAUUACUGCUAUGAUAACAAAAGCAAUGAUGUUUUGGAAGCCAGUUGUCAUAGGUUUCAACCCUUUGGAUUUUGAAAAUAAAGUGCAAUUUUAGCAAGGUAUUGGUUUAUUGGUUCUGUGGAGUUCUCCAGUUGACUUCAGCAACUCAGUGUCAAUAUCCUGUCUGUCUUUAUAUUUUUACAAAAGCCUAUCAGAAGGGAACCAGGACAUGAAAGGCAAGUGUGGACAAACAGCAUCUAAUGGUCUCUCCAAAACUGUCUUUGAAAAAGUUUGUGUCUCUCUAACCUCUUCCACUGAUGGCUGAAUAAGUAGGAGCUCCAAACUGUAAGUGAGUGUGUCUGGGGUGUGCUUUGUGUAGGUGUGUGUAAGCAAAGAACAGUGCCAGCACUGGGCUGGGAGUUCAAGUCCUGACUGACCCUUGCUUACUGUUAGUCCUUGAAAAAUCCAUCUCUGAGCUUCAGUCUUCAUAUUUAUAGAAUGAGAUUUCAAUGUAGAUGACCAGAGGAGACCCAAGGAUGACCCAAUAAAUACUCUUAGAACCUGAAUACGUCACUUUAUGGUUUAAAGAAAAACCAUAAAUUCUACACUUUAUUCUCUUUGGUAUCAUAAGUGGAUCAGAGAGACCUUGUCUAUACUGCAUACACUUGAGAAGACAGGACUAAAGUCAGUCUAAUUUUAAGGCAAAAGAGAAGUAGACAACAAAGCUUGUCUCAAUAAUGAGGCAGUACAUGCUUUUUUCCUGGACUUGAAGAGGGGACAAUUUGAAGGAUCAGAUCUAGUUGAUGUAGUAGUCUCAGCAACAUCAUAAACAGAGGACCCAGAGCUGAAAACAACUGCAGCGAGUCAAAGCCACCCCUUUCUACACUGGAUUUCAGUGGCACUACAUUCUCUUGACUAUUGUGAGCCUCACGCUCAUUCCUUAGACUACUGCGAGCCUCAAGCUCAUUCCAGCCAUUACAUGUGACUUCCCUCAAAGCACCCCAGGCCCUUUUCAUUUGCCUCUCUCCUUAGUGGUCACACAUCAUUCCCAAGGCUUCAAGUACCAUGCAUGUGCUAAGGAUUUCCAAAUUUGUAUCUCUGGUACAUAUCACUAUAACUACACAUUGUUCUACAUGUUCAUAGAUGCUUCCCAGCUACCAAAAGUCAGCUCCUACUUCUCCUUACCAAACCUGUUAAUCCCCCUGUAUUCUAUGUCAGAAUUCAGUGCUGUUACCUUCCAAUUUCUCAAACCAGAAAUGUGAGAGUCAUUGUUGAUAUUCCCCCACUCCCCUACCAUUGCCAUAUUCAAUCAAUCAUCAUAUUC
rnacentral:lncRNA from 1 species